UCUGUUAUGACUUUGUAGUAGGCUCUAUCAACUGUCCAGGGCAAAGUCGGUCUACCCUGAUGGCACUACCUGUUACCCUGACCUCAACGUAGUGGGUGUGGACUACAGGAGCCCUGAUGUCAAGAAUUAAUAUAGACGGUAAUGGUGGCAAGGGUGCCUCCAUAAGGUGCCAGAAUUCCCAGCCUGGAGCCAGAGGCUGCUAUUGCAAGUCAGAUGGGGGAUGAUCUAUGUUAGGCGUCAGAAAGGUGGUGUACGCAGGAAGGCAAGGCAAAGAUGUGAUUAGACUACCUUCAAUAAGACAGGGCAACAGACACAUGACAGAAAGUGACUGGGAGAGAGAAACUUUGAAUGGACUGGCCUGAAACCCAACUGAGUUUCCAAGUUUAUGGUUGAGUUUAAAUGUUAAUGCUGU